GAAGAUGCAGUGUACCCGCGGCAAGACGGAAAGACCCCGUGAACCUUUACUAUAGCUUGACACUGAACAUUGAGCCUUGAUGUGUAGGAUAGGUGGGAGGCUUUGAAGCGUGGACGCCAGUCUGCGUGGAGCCGACCUUGAAAUACCACCCUUUAAUGUUUGAUGUUCUAACGUGGACCCGUAAUCCGGGUUGCGGACAGUGUCUGGUGGGUAGUUUGACUGGGGCGGUCUCCUCCUAAAGAGUAACGGAGGAGCACGAAGGUUGGCUAAUCCUGGUCGGACAUCAGGAGGUUAGUGCAAUGGCAUAAGCCAGCUUGACUGCGAGCGUGACGGCGCGAGCAGGUGCGAAAGCAGGUCAUAGUGAUCCGGUGGUUCUGAAUGGAAGGGCCAUCGCUCAACGGAUAAAAGGUACUCCGGGGAUAACAGGCUGAUACCGCCCAAGAGUUCAUAUCGACGGCGGUGUUUGGCACCUCGAUGUCGGCUCAUCACAUCCUGGGGCUGAAGUAGGUCCCAAGGGUAUGGCUGUUCGCCAUUUAAAGUGGUACGCGAGCUGGGUUUAGAACGUCGUGAGACAGUUCGGUCCCUAUCUGCCGUGGGCGCUGGAGAACUGAGGGGGGCUGCUCCUAGUACGAGAGGACCGGAGUGGACGCAUCACUGGUGUUCGGGUUGUCAUGCCAAUGGCACUGCCCGGUAGCUAAAUGCGGAAGAGAUAAGUGCUGAAAGCAUCUAAGCACGAAACUUGCCCCGA
rnacentral:rRNA from 3 species